rnacentral:rRNA from 1 species
UACGUAGGGAGCAAGCGUUGUCCGGAAUCAUUGGGCGUAAAGCGCGCGUAGGUGGCUUCAUAAGUCCGUUGUGAAAGUCAAAGGCUCAACCUUUGAAAGCCGAUGGAUACUGUGGAGCUAGAGUACGGAAGAGGCGAGUGGAAUUCCUGGUGUAGCGGUGGAAUGCGCAGAUAUCAGGAGGAACACCGGUGGCGAAGGCGCCACUCUGGGCCGGUACUGACGCUGAGGAGCGAAAGCGUGGGUAGCAAACGGG